CCUGUGGUGUAGUGGUUAACAUGCCGGUCUGUCACACCGGAGAUCGCGAGUUCAAAUCUCGUCAGG
rnacentral:tRNA from 1 species